AGUCGUUUUGUUUUUUUACUUAAGAAGAACUCGCCGCCCAUCAGGAUGUACGGGAGAGGAGUCUCAAAUAAUAUUCUUGCAGCACUCCUGCCGAGCAAUAUAUUCGCUAGCGGACGGACCCGCCUUCCUCAGAUACCCGCUUCGGAAGAAGGCACCCGAGUCCGCCAGCGUGCGAUGCGAUGAUCCGUGAAAACAAACACGUCCUCGGGUCGUACCGGUGACAGGUCUCGACAAUGAUCCUUUCUGUAGGUGAACCUGCGGAAGGAUCAUUGUCGAGACCU
rnacentral:rRNA from 1 species